UUAAGAUGGUAAAAAAAACUGGUGAUGCUUCAUCCACUUUUAUUCUCCCACUGAAUAAUUCAUGAUGGACUGGAGAAUCUCAAUGAUUGGUUCACCAUACUCUGGCAGAAAUUCCUACUGACUGCCAUACCUUGAGUAAGAAAUUCUUGGUAACCAAUGCAGACUCAGACCUCUUGAAAAACGAAAAGCAGGCCAAGCUGGAUAAAAGCCAAAAUUACUGUUUGCCAAAUUACACUGUUGGGUUUCGUGGAACAGCUAGGACUCUCAUAUACCUAAAGAUAGUGAAAAGAUGUAUAGAGGUUACUGAGGUUGGAAAUAUAUGUUGAGUUUAACACUGUAAUUGACAGUGGCCUUUCAAUGAAGAUUUAAGGAAUUUGGAAUCUAUUCUGCAGGCAGAAGGGAAAGUAUUGAUGAUUUUGAGCAGUGACAAUAGGAUCAGAUGCAUGUUUUAAAAGAUCUAGAAGUGUAAAGAGUAUAUGUAUAUUAGGGCUGGAGUAGCUGGAGGCUGGGAGACAAACUUAUUGCAAGGCUCCACAUAAAAUCAUAUGGACCUCAGUGAAUCCUAUCCUCAGGUAAAUACUAAUAAUUAAAAGGGCUUCACCAUUUGUAGAGCUUUCAGAUGAUUUAUCCUUAAUAUUAUUAUCCUCACAUCUGCUGAUGAGCAAGCCUCUCAGGAUCUUCUGCUCCAGUCUUGUGAUGGUAGCAUGUUCCUGCCUCUGGUGGUACUAAACCCUGGGCAAUCAUCUCUGCUAGGAACAGCUGUUCGUGGUGACUGCUGUGAAACCAACAGGAUGGCCUCUUUUCUAUUUAGUCCUAAGAGUGGGCAUAAGGUAAAAUAUUGUUGGGUACCUCCUUUGGAGUUCUAGACUCAGGAUGAGAUUACAGAAGAUAUGCUCAACAUCCUCCUUUGACCUGGUCCCAGUUUCACUAUAUUUGAUAGAUGCUUUACAGUCUCUGGUAAGGAGGUGUGCAAUUCUCUGAUUUUAUUAUAGUUUUUAGGGAAUUUUAUUUUAUACAUUUCAACCAAAAAAAUUACAUAAAUAACAGCUCGACUGAAAGCUGUAUUUUAAAUGAACAAAUAUUGGUACUUUGUGAACACAUGUGGUGCUUUUUUUUCUCUAAUUAUUGGCUAUCAAUCUUAUUUUACUAAAUAUAUACUGACAAAUUUAUUUUGGUCCAUUUAUUUGAGUUCAAAGACUAUUUCAUACUCUUCCCAGUGAAACAGUCAUGGGCCAUUGCUAUCUUCAAAAGAACUAAAUAUAUAAGUAGCAGCUCUCCUCAAAAAAGAUGACAAAGUCUUCUUUUCCCUUUAGAACAUAAAUUUCAGUGGCUGGUAAAACUAUUUUAGCAACAAUAUGCUCACUUCUUCUAUGAUAUGUUUUUCUUCUCUACUAAGUUCAAAGUUUCUCUCAGUAACCAUAGCAACUCAAAAUUGUUUCUCUACCUUACUGAAGUUGCCCUCUUCCACUGAUCAUUAGGACAUUAACUUUUAGAAUCAUUUGUUUUUGCCUCUUGUUUUGAAGGCAGCUUUUUAAUUUCCUCAAAUAAUUGCAAUGGAACAAAAAAUUGUUCUCUUUUUUACAUAUGUGCACUUUUAUAAGAGAUGUAAUGUUUGUAAAUAAAAGUUUUAAUUUAU